UUUUGGCUCAUGAGCUGGGUCACCUCAAGUGCGAUCAUGGUGUUUGGCUCACUUUUGCCAAUAUACUCACAAUGGGAGCAUACACUGUCCCUGGUUUCGGCAUGGUUGCUGGCUUUCUGGAAGAGCAGCUAUAUAGAUGGCUACGAGCUGCAGAGCUGACUUGUGACAGGGCAGCUCUUCUUGUGGUGCAAGACCCGAAGAUUCUCCUGCAGCCACGGGAUGGUGGCGGCCUUCGCGCGGGCAGC